rnacentral:lncRNA from 1 species
ACACCCAAAGUGUCCUAGGUACUCCUAGGGAGCCCUUUUUUGUGUGCAUAUGUGUUUUUGUACAAAAUGAUGUUUGCAAAUAAAUAGAAUGGGGGAUGAGAAAAGAAUUCAUUAAUUAUAUUUUUGUAUUUGACAAGAUCUUCAGACUUGUGCCUACGUGCCAACAUAAAAAUGAGGGAUCAAAAUCUCAUAGUUCGUGG